rnacentral:rRNA from 1 species
AAAUUGAAGAGUUUGAUCAUGGCUCAGAUUGAACGCUGGCGGCAGGCCUAACACAUGCAAGUCGAACGGUAACAGGAAGCAGCUUGCUGCUUCGCUGACGAGUGGCGGACGGGUGAGUAAUGUCUGGGAAACUGCCUGAUGGAGGGGGAUAACUACUGGAAACGGUGGCUAAUACCGCAUAACGUCGCAAGACCAAAGAGGGGGACCUUCGGGCCUCUUGCCAUCAGAUGUGCCCAGAUGGGAUUAGCUGGUUGGU